rnacentral:misc_RNA from 1 species
ACGACUUGCGUUUCGAGCAAAAUUGUCGAUCGUCUUUCGAAAUAAAUCCUUGAAAGUUCGCUUCUUACACUACCUAAUUUUCUCUACUUAUAUUGACACAGGUUUUUUUCCGAAACGUUUUCACUCAUAUUUUUUGUUUUUAUACUUAACGUUAUAAUUUAUAUACGUAACCCACUACCUCUUAUAGUAUAGGAGGUGUCUUAUACCGUCGAAUUCAAAUUCAACAAUCUCUUAUAAACUAGUCAUCAAACCGCUUGUGAUAGUUUUACUAUUCAUUCAUAAUACAUUAAUACCUAAUAAAAAGAUUAACAUUUAUAUUACGUUAAACCGUAAUUAUUUAUUCUUAUUUAAAUAUUUGUGUCUACUCAACAAUCACUCGUGUAUUUAUAUGAUAGUCUCAUAUUCAAACACUUUUUAUCACUGUUUUACAAUAGUGUUGUAGCUAUAAUAUAAUAUAUAAUAUAUGUCAUUGGAUAUUAUGUGCUUAUAGUUUGUAAGUAAAUGGACAACCCGAAGUAUGAACACGACAAUGGCCCACAACAAAAUUCAACCGUUAACAAUUGCAAUAUACAGUUAAAUUAUGAUACUUCAAACAAUGAUGUUAUCUUGGCGGUGGAUGACGUGGAAUCGUCAAGACUUGCUUCAAACCAGAAGAAGAAAUUUACCCAACAUACUAAAGACGUCUGUCUAAAAAAAAUAACCAAUUUUACCAAAAGAAAACUGUUUAUAUUACAAUGGAUCCCCGUUUACUCGAGCGAAGAUUUUCUUGGCGAUUUCUUAGCCGGCAUUACGAUCGGUUUAACUGUAAUACCUCAAUCAAUGGCGUUGGCCAGCAUAGUCGGAAUACCAGCCCAGUAUGGUCUUUAUAGUUCCUUUGUGGGAACUUUUAUUUACCUACUGUUUGGCACAAGUAAAGUAGUCCCGAUGGGACCCACCGCCAUUGUGGCGCUGUUGAUUAACAACACAAUCGGCACCAGGGGACCGGCAUAUGCAACGUUGUUGUGCUUCCUGACGGGUGUCAUCCAGAUAUUGAUGAGCAUCGCGGGCUUGGGGAUCAUCAUCAAUUUUAUAUCCGUACCGGUGUGCUCCGGGUUCACGUCAGCUUCAGCCAUUCUUGUCAUUACUUCCCAAGUAAAAGACCUGAUCGGCGUCAAGGGUGGCGGCGGAAACCUAUUGAAAAUGUGCCGAACCGUAUUGGAGCACAUCGGUAGUAUCAGCAUAGGAGACACGAUCAUGGGAUUUGCGUGCAUAGGAACGGUGAUGCUCUUAAAGGCGUUCAGUGCUACACGGAUAGGUCCAAAAGAAGAAGAACUACAAAAUGUAUGGCAAAAAAAUGUAAACAAGCUCAUCUGGGCGAUCGGUGCAUUUAGAAAUUCAUUUGUAGUAAUCGUAUGUAGUAUUAUCUGUUAUUGGUGUGUACAUAAAACAAACCACGAUAUCACGUCUGAUUGGGCACCACCAAUCCCGUUUAAAAUCAUCGGCAAAAUACCACAUGGAUUGCCACAUUUCCAGUGGCCAGAGUUUAGCAACACUAACGAAAGUUUCUUCGACAUGAUUUUCUUUAUGGGUUCAGGCAUUAUUGUGAUACCACUCAUAUCAUUACUCGAAAAUAUAUCCCUUUGCAGAACUUUUGCGGAAGGAAAGCCAAUAGACACGGACCAAGAGCUAUUGGCAAUCGGUAUGGCGAACCUCGGUAAUUCGUUCUUUCACGGUUUUACUGGGGCUGGGGCCAUCGCUAGAGGAGCACUCAACUAUUCGAGCGGCGUGCGCACGCCCCUCGGAGGCCUGUACACAGGACUUACUGUUAUGGCGGCAUUGGUGUUUUUAACACCAUAUUUCUAUUACAUCCCAAAGACCGCGUUAGCUGCAGUUAUAAUCGCUGCUUCAUUUAUGAUGGUCGAUGUCAAGAUGGUUAAAUACGUUUACAAGUCAAAAAAAAAAGAUUUGGUGCUCAUGUUGAUCACGUUUUUCGCAUGCUUAUUUCUUCCAUUGGAAUACGGAGUGCUCAUCGGCAUCGUUGCGAACGUCGGAUUCAUAAUGUGCAGUGCGGCCAAGCCAAAAAUAUCUAUCCAAGUUCAAAAGAACCGUGACGGGAUCAAAUACCUGUUGUUGACACCUGACAGAUAUUUGAUAUUCCCUUCGAUGGAAUACGUACGGCAAACGAUAACCAAACACGGCCUUGCUCUUGGGAUCCCCGUGGUCAUCGAUGGUUCCAGUGUAUUCGAGGCGGAUUUCACAACGGCAAACCCAUACAGACUGCAUUUUUCGUUAUCUGUGCAUAGAUUAGUCUAUCAGCUAACAAGUCUCGGAUGGAAUAUCCAAAUUGUUUCUACAAACGGUUGACAGCCCAUUCAGCCCAAUAUUGUAGUAUUUAAAUAAUUUUAAAUAAAAGUAUUUUCAAUAUUUAUUCUUCUAUUCUCAAUGGCAAAUGGUAUUUUCCAUGAUGUCACAGGACUUUUCAAAAAAAGGUCAAUUCUUAUAUUUGUUUGAUCUAAAGCCCAGUGUAGCUAAUGUCUUUAAAGGAAUAAAAAAUUGUAAUAUUUUUAUAUGUGCAAAUAAAGACGAG